rnacentral:pre_miRNA from 1 species
AUAAAGUUCCUUUGGGUAAGAAGUACUACUUGUCAUAAAAAUGGAUAAAAGGAGAUGUAUCUAGACGUAUUUUAGUUCUAGAUACGUCCCUUUUUAUCCAUUUUGAUGACAAGUAUUUUCGGACGGAGGGAGCUUAUA